UUUUGCGGUUGGGCUGUUUGUUGAUUGAUACACUUCGCUUAUUAACAGCAUUUGGAAGUUGCUGCUGUUAAUGUUGUUGCUUUCAUGCCGUACAGCGUUCUUGAAGCCAGUGCCCAUAAACAGAGAUAAUCGAAAGUGUGAUAAACGGUUAAGUAAUAUUCUUCCUGUGCCAAUGCCCUCUCUCCACCACUCCGGCGUGCAGCGAAGCUUCCCUACAAUCGAUUAAUAAUGAUGCCAUAAAAAUGAAGCUUUAAUUCUGCUUAAUUACCAAGCUCCAUACAGUGCCGCAGGCGUCAAUUCUCGCUUGAUUGGAGAAUAAGCGACACGAACCGCACUUUAUCGAACGGGCACGAUACGCAUCCUGAAAAAAAGUGGCGGCACGACGAUCCUUUCAUUUCGCUUCCUCUUGUCAAGCCGAUCGGUAGCGUAGCGACUUUGGUACGGUAGUGCCGGC